CGCGUAGGCGGGUUAUUAAGUUAGAGGUGAAAUCCCGGGGCUCAACCCCGGAACUGCCUUUAAUACUGGUAACCUAGAGUUCGAGAGAGGUGAGUGGAAUUCCGAGUGUAGAGGUGAAAUUCGUAGAUAUUCGGAGGAACACCAGUGGCGAAGGCGGCUCACUGGCUCGAUACUGACGCUGAGGUGCGAAAGUGUGGGGAGCAAACA
rnacentral:rRNA from 1 species